AGCGAACGCUGGCGGCAGGCCUAACACAUGCAAGUCGAACGGACCCUUCGGGGUUAGUGGCGGACGGGUGAGUAACACGUGGGAACGUGCCUUUAGGUUCGGAAUAGCUCCUGGAAACGGGUGGUAAUGCCGAAUGUGCCCUUAGGGGGAAAGAUUUAUCGCCUUUAGAGCGGCCCGCGUCUGAUUAGCUAGUUGGUGAGGUAAUGGCUAGCCAAGGCUACGAUCAGUAGCUGGUCUGAGAGGAUGACCAGCCACGUUGGGACUGAGACCCGGCCCAAACUCCUACGGGAGGCAGCAGUUGGGAAUCUUGCGCAAUGGGCGAAAGCCUGACGCAGCCAUGCCGCGUGAAUGAUGAAGGUCUUAGGAUUGUAAAAUUCUUUCACCGGGGACGAUAAUGACGGUACCCGGAGAAGAAGCCCCGGCUAACUUCGUGCCAGCAGCCGCGGUAAGAC
rnacentral:rRNA from 1 species